GAUGAACGCUGGCGGCGUGCCUAAUACAUGCAAGUCGAGCGAACAGACGAGGAGCUUGCUCCUCUGACGUUAGCGGCGGACGGGUGAGUAACACGUGGAUAACCUACCUAUAAGACUGGGAUAACUUCGGGAAACCGGAGCUAAUACCGGAUAAUAUAUUGAACCGCAUGGUUCAAUAGUGAAAGACGGUUUUGCUGUCACUUAUAGAUGGAUCCGCGCCGCAUUAGCUAGUUGGUAAGGUAACGGCUUACCAAGGCAACGAUGCGUAGCCGACCUGAGAGGGUGAUCGGCCACACUGGAACUGAGACACGGUCCAGACUCCUACGGGAGGCAGCAGUAGGGAAUCUUCCGCAAUGGGCGAAAGCCUGACGGAGCAACGCCGCGUGAAUGAUGAAGGUCUUCGGAUCGUAAAACUCUGUUAUUAGGGAAGAACAAAUGUGUAAGUAACUAUGCACGUUUUGACGGUACCUAAUCAGAAAGCCACGGCUAACUACGUG
rnacentral:rRNA from 1 species